rnacentral:rRNA from 1 species
UACGUGGGAGUGCAAGCGUUGUCCGGAAUUAUUGGGCGUAAAGAGCUCGUAGGCGGUUUGUCGCGUCUGCUGUGAAAACCCGAGGCUCAACCUCGGGCCUGCAGUGGGUACGGGCAGACUAGAGUGCGGUAGGGGAGAUUGGAAUUCCUGGUGUAGCGGUGGAAUGCGCAGAUAUCAGGAGGAACACCAAUGGCGAAGGCAGAUCUCUGGGCCGUAACUGACGCUGAGGAGCGAAAGCAUGGGGAGCGAACAGG